rnacentral:rRNA from 1 species
GUAGGGAAUAUUGCGCAAUGGGCGAAAGCCUGACGCAGCGAUGCCGCGUGAGUGACGAAGGUCCUAGGAUUGUAAAGCUCUUUUCUGAGGGAAGAACAUGCCGGGUAGGAAAUGAUCUGGUUUUGACGGUACCUCAGGAAUAAGGAACGGCUAACUCCGUGCCAGCAGCCGCGGUAAUACGGAGGUUCCUAGCGUUGUUCGGAAUUACUGGGCGUAAAGGGAGCGCAGGCGGACAGGUCAGUUUAAAGUGGAAUCCCAGGGCUCAACCCUGGACGUGCUUUGGAUACUGCCUGGCUUGAGUUCGUGAGAGGAAAGUGGAAUUCAGGGUGUAGCGGUGAAAUGCUUAGAUAUCCUGAGGAACACCAGUGGCGAAAGCGACUUUCUGGCACGAAACUGACGCUGAGGCUCGAAAGCAUGGGUAGCGAACGGGAUUAGAAACCCGGGUAGUCC